ACCGGAAGAUGCACUCGGGAGCCUCUCUCUCUGCAGGAAAGAAAGCUCUUCUCUUCUCUUUCGCCUGUUUAACCUCCACUCUUAAACUCACUUCUUGUGUGUCCGUGUCUUCAAUUUCCCUGGCGUGAGACAAGAAACCUCGGGUAUUUGCCCCAGAUAGUGACGCCGCUUCAGCAGAACCUCAGCUUUGACUCUGAGUGAGAUGGGAGCCAUUGGAGAGCUCUGAGUCCAGCCGUGACCUGAUGUGAUUUGUAAAUGAUCCCUCAGGUUGCUGUGUUGAGAAGGCGGAGAGGGUGCAGGUCAAUAUAUCCACAACACCUGACCCAGAACAGGUGCUUGGCAAAGGCUUAGCAUAGCACCUAGUACUCAGAUGCUCAUCUGAUGCUUAUCCCAUGAGUGGAUGGAUGGAUGGAGGGAUGAGCUACAAAAACCCAAGGGCUAUAUUUUUUGCAUGUCUGACACCCAUGGCUCCACCUGGACCUGAAGGCUCCUGUGACCCCACCCAGGAGUGACUCAGUUCAAGACAACAGCUUUGACCGCCCCCCCUGAUUUCAUCUCCACUGCAACCAAUCAGCAGCAAGCACCCAUUGCCUGGCCACCCCCACCCCUUACCCAAACUGCUUUUGAGCCUUGGAGGAGACUGAUUUGAGUGAUAACUCCGUCUCCUGUGUGGCGUGGCUGGCUACAAGUCAAUUAAAUUCUUUCCU